AACGAACGCUGGAGGCGUGGUUAAGACAUGCAAGUCGAACGGUACGUUGUAGCAAUAUGACGUAUAGUGGCGAACGGGUGAGUAAUAAAUAGCUAACGUACCUCGGUCUCGGGGAUACCGCCGGGCGCAAGCCCUUUGCGAAAGUGGUGUUAAUACCCGAUGACGUCCAUGAAAGGCAUCUUUUAUGGAUCAAAGGUGGGGACCGCAAGGCCUACCGGACUGAGAGCGGGCUAUUUCCUAUCAGCUAGUUGGUGAGGUAACGGCUCACCAAGGCUUUGACGGGUAGCCGGACUGAGAGGUUGUACGGCCACAUCGGGACUGAGACACUGCCCGGACAUCUACGGAUGGCUGCAGUAACGAAUCUUCCGCAAUGGGCGAAAGCCUGACGGAGCGACGCCUCGUGGGGGACGAAUCCCUUCGGGAUGUAAACCCCUUUUAGGUUUAGGAAAGCAAGGAUGGCGAACAGCCAUUCAAGUUGAUCAGACCAGAAAAGACCUCGGCUAACUCUGUGCCAGCAGCCGC
rnacentral:rRNA from 1 species